AGCCCGUAGAACUUCCCGUAGCAACAGAAAUCACUGACAAUUCAGUGACAGACUGUCUCAGAUGGAUGACGAAGAGGCCCUGCCUGACCUACAGUGCGGAGCUUCAGAAAGAAGGACAACGUUCAAGAGAAAUCUGCUAUCAGGGAAAGUCCACAAUGAAGCAAGCUUAUCUUCUGCUACGGGUCUUCUCCAUGAUUGGUGAAGCAAGUCCACCCUCUUCUCCACAUGCUCUGGCUCACCAAACAUGAACAGAAGGGGCUUGGACUUGCUGUUUCUGCAACAAGGAGGAUUAUGUGCAGCCCUCAAAGAAGAAUGUUGUUUUUACGCAGACCAUUCCGGUGUUGUUAAAGAUUCUUUAGCUAAAUUAAGAGAAGGAUUAGAAAAACAUAGGAGGGAAAGAGAGGCCAUUUCUGGCUGGUUUGAAGGCUGGUUUGGAACUUCCCCUUGGCUCACUACUCUAAUAUCCGCCUUAACAGGCCCUCCAUGCAUGUGGGGUCGGCUAACGGCCCUUAUAAGGUGCAACCUAGGGUCCCUCACCAUGCUCACCCAGGUGGUGGAAAAGAUAGCUAAUGAACAACACCCCCAAGAUGCUGGGGUCAAUUUGGCCCUUCAAAAAAUUAACAUUAAAAAAAAAAAAUUAACAUCAAGGUGUAAUCUCCUGUUUGGCCUCAGCUUGGUUGGAUAGUCAAUGAUGGGUAAGAUCCCCCACGGGGGGGGGGGACAAUCUAAGACAGGUACAAUCACACAAGACCAAUACAGGUUCUUUCAGCCUCGGCUUGGUUGGAUAGUCAAUGACGGGUAAGAUCCCUUAAUGGGGGGGGGGGACAACCUAAGAGAGACACAACCACACAAGACUUCUAUUAAAAUAAAAAAGGGGGAACUAUGGGACCGUGCCCUUUUUCUAAGCAAAAACAACAUUUGGCCUAAAUGGAUAAAAGGUGGACCCCAAGGGAAGUUAAGGGAGAAAGCUAAGCAUAGAGAGGCAAGGCACGUGCACAUUUGACCUUUUCAAGGAUUGGCCUAAGCUUGGAAAUCCCCACCUGCUAAGCAUAUGAAUAUGAUCUUUCGUGUU